rnacentral:lncRNA from 1 species
GAUGUUACUGGUGCAAAAAGUUUAUAUCAGGGUACAUAUUAUUCUCUCUUUGUGCAAAUACUUCGUUGCUCCAGAACUGGAGAAUCUACUUUUUGGAUAUUAUAUAUACUUUUAGUUGUUGAAGUUGCUAUGGAAUUGUGGAGUUCGCAAAUGCAACUUCUUCAUGGUAUGAGAUGUAUGUUGAGUUGUAUGAUAGAAUUGAUUUUGUAGUAGUGUUGGUUUAUUUGAUGCUACAUUUUGUGUUUAG